UUGUCCAAGGGGUUAGACUCAAGUUCUAAUAGUCUCAUGACUGCGUGGGUUCGAACCCCACCUUCAGC
rnacentral:tRNA from 1 species